GGGAGACCUUGGGAAAGGUGGUCGCCGUGGCCUUUGUUAGAGGGAGACCCUCUUAUAGAGCGCUGGCUGUGGCCUCAAUGUUGAAGGCGAGUGGGUGUCUUGUCUUGCGUGGAGACCAGGGACAACCUGAAAGCCCAGUUCCCAAAGAAGACUUUUAAGUUGGCCUAGAGUUUCCAGGGUGCUCUCUGUCCAGAUUAUUCAUCACUGGAAAGGUGCAGAUCUCAAGUCCCACUUGGCAGUCUCAGAUCCAGGUCCCAUCUCCGUGAGACUGUUGCCAGUUGGUGCUCGUGGCCAUAAUGUUGAAGGCUUCCUCCAGAACUGGACACGUGGAGAACCCUAGCCCACCAUGGCACCCCCAGUUCCAGGACAUACGCACAUCUGGGAGACCAUGGGCAAUGUGGUAGCUGCAGCCUUUGUGUUGAAGGUCUAUUUUUAAGAGAAGAUUUUUUUUGGCCUAGAGUUCCCAGGGUGCUCUUACUGUCUCUGGGACAUAUAAAGGGAAGCAUC